CGGAGGGCGCAAGCGUUGUUCGGAAUUACUGGGCGUAAAGCGCGCGCAGGCGGGAAGGUAAGUCUGGAGUGAAAUUCCGGGGCUCAACUCCGGAGCUGCUUUGGAUACUGUCUUUCUAGGGACCGGUAGAGGCCGGUGGAAUUCCCGGUGUAGCGGUGGAAUGCGUAGAGAUCGGGAAGAACACCCGUGGCGAAGGCGGCCGGCUGGGCCGGGUCCGACGCUGAGGCGCGAAAGCGUGGGGAGCAAACAGGAUUAGAUACCCUGGUAGUCCACGCUGUAAACGAUGGGCACUAGGUGCCGGGGGGAGCGACCCCGUCGGUGCCGCAGCUAACGCGAUAAGUGCCCCGCCUGGGGAGUACGGCCGCAAGGCUG
rnacentral:rRNA from 1 species